UACGUAGGGUGCAAGCGUUAAUCGGAAUUACUGGGCGUAAAGCGUGCGCAGGCGGUCGCGUAAGACAGAUGUGAAAUCCUCGGGCUUAACCUGAGAAUCGCAUUUGUGACUGCACGGCUGGAGUGCGGCAGAGGGGGAUGGAAUUCCGCGUGUAGCAGUGAAAUGCGUAGAUAUGCGGAGGAACACCGAUGGCGAAGGCAAUCCCCUGGGCCUGCACUGACGCUCAUGCACGAAAGCGUGGGGAGCAAACAGG
rnacentral:rRNA from 1 species